rnacentral:ncRNA from 1 species
AUACGUGCAGGGCGGAGAUGCACAAACGACGGACUGCGUAGCACUCGACUUUCCAGACGCCUUGAUCGUCCGCAGCGUUGUUUGAUUCCUCCUCCUGAAUGAGUGCUUCUGUACCCACAGUUAGCAGGAGCCGCCAGUCGCGCGCAGGCCCAAUCGCCUGCGAGGCUUGACAAGGGCAACGGCCAGACCGUUCCCGGCGCACCUGACACCGACCACGAGAGUCGUGCGUGCCAACCGCCGUUUCCGGCAGCCCGGAAACCAU